AACAAAUGUGACUGGGCAAAAAAGAACCUGGCAACAAGUAAAGAUCAAAUAUAAAAACAUUUUGCAAGCUGCUGUUAAGAAGACUCAUUUGUCUGGCACUGGGUUGGGGCCGCCAGCUCCAGACUUCACCCCAGCUGAGGAAAUGGCCCUUGAUUUGAACCAAGGAAGGCCUGUGAUGGAAGGAUCUGUAUGUAACAGGAUCCAGACGCAGUACAGUAUGACAGCCAGCCUGGCAACAUAGUACUCGUCGGGAAAAGCUAAAGGGUCUGAUCUGUCCCGAAACACCCUCUCACGUCUGAAAGCAGGUCUCAAUAUCAGCGCUUCUUCAUCCAAAACGUCAUUCAGAAAUGGGCAUGCCAUGGUGCAGGGAGAAACACAGGUGAAUGGGACUUCAUAUAUUGCCCUCAUCACUGACUUCAUUGAAAUCCCCGUUGCAAAUUCAUCAACCAUUACAAACCAUCUAAACUGCAAUAGUAGGAUUUAAAUCAAACUCGUCACAGCAAUAGUGACAAGUAAUGCGAG
ensembl:lncRNA